UACGUAGGGGGCAAGCGUUAUCCGGAUUUACUGGGUGUAAAGGGAGCGUAGGUGGCAUGAUAAGUCUGAUGUGAAAGCCCGGGGCUCAACCCCGGGAUUGCAUUGGAAACUAUCAAGCUAGAGUGCAGGAGAGGUAAGUGGAAUUCCUAGUGUAGCGGUGAAAUGCGUAGAUAUUAGGAGGAACACCAGUGGCGAAGGCGGCUUACUGGACUGUAACUGACACUGAGGCUCGAAAGCGUGGGGAGCAAAC
rnacentral:rRNA from 1 species